rnacentral:rRNA from 1 species
AUUGAACGCUGGCGGCAGGCUUAACACAUGCAAGUCGAGCGGAGCGAGGGUGCUUGCACCUUAGCUUAGCGGCGGACGGGUGAGUAAUGCUUAGGAAUCUGCCUAUUAGUGGGGGACAACAUUCCGAAAGGAAUGCUAAUACCGCAUACGCCCUACGGGGGAAAGCAGGGGAUCUUCGGACCUUGCGCUAAUAGAUGAGCCUAAGUCGGAUUAGCUAGUUGGUGGGGUAAAGGCCUACCAAGGCGACGAUCUGUAGCGGGUCUGAGAGGAUGAUCCGCCACACUGGGACGGAGACACGGCCCAGACUCCUACGGGAGGCAGCAGUGGGGAAUAUUGGACAAUGGGCGGAAGCCUGAUCCAGCCAUGCCGCGUGUGUGAAGAAGGCCUUUUGGUUGUAAAGCACUUUAAGCGAGGAGGAGGCUACUUAGAUUAAUACUCUGGGAUAGUGGACGUUACUCGCAGAAUAAGCACCGGCUAACUCUGUGCCAGCAGCCGCCGUAAAAC